UAAAGUGUCCAUCCUUCCAACUUCAAAUUUCCUAUAUCCUCUCUGAGGAUACAUAAAAUGUCCUUAUUUCUGUGGUGGAAUCCAAACUGAGCAUGCCCUGGAGCUGCUUAUUCUGGGAAAUGUUUCUCUAAAAAAAAUAUGUUAAAGUUUUAAAAGUUAAUUUUGGACUUUCUUCUCCCUCAUGGCUGUAGAUUUUGCAGGUGUCUGGGACUGUCUGUGAGUAAUUUGAUUUAAAGGCAGAAAAAGCUAUGAGAAGUUUCAGAGAGAGUAUUUAUUCAUUAAGAUUUGAAAUAGGAUUCUCAUCUGGUGGCACAGAAUAUUAAACAAUCAUCUGUGUACUCUCCAGGAUGGCAGUAAUUUGGCUCAGUACAAGAAGUCCUUGUCUUCCAGAAAGUUUUGGAAAUACCUGGGUAAAAUAAUUGAUGGCUGUAUUUCUUAUGGUUCCAGACUGGAACAUGGAACUGAGUUUUACUUUUAAGGACAUAAAACACCUUUAGAGAUCCUCCCUUGCAUAAGCACUGCCACAGAUUUUGCAUAAAGCUAUUUCUGUGUAUAUGGAUUCUAUAUGUGGGGUGUCAUAGUUGUUUUAGAAUGUAAAACGUAUGACACAACUUUCUCCACUGAAUUGAAAUUUGUUUUGGUUUUUUAAUGUAUUUAAAGAGCAAAUAGCGCUUUAAUUUCAACAAACUUGCAGAGAGCUGUACUGAAAUAUCUUUGUCUGAAAAAUAAAGCUGUGAUCCAUUAA